CGCCCAUAGCCCCGCUCUCCACACGCGGCGGCGGGAGCGGUGGGUCCUCCGGGGCCGGCCCGGAGGGUAGCUGUGAGGGAAGCAGAGCCGCAGCCUCCGGAGGCGCAGCGCAGAAAUGGGCUCCUCGGCUCGGUGCCCCGCCGGCCGCCAAGCACAAAGAAACGGCAGCGCACUCCCGUCAGUGUAAAACCAUUUUUUUUCUUUUUUUUCUUUUUUUUUUUUAAUUCUAAAUCACUUUCACAACAGUGAAAAUUAGUGAACAGUAACGGUAAUAACGCACUGAACGAGCCGUCACCGGCUGUGUGCAGUCUGAAUACAAGGGGAGCGGUACGAUACAAACGCACACCGAGAGAAAGGAAAUCAUCCUGACUGUCAGUGAUCUGAAUCAGAACGAUCUAAAAACAACAGAAGAAGAAAAAGAAAGUGGAGUUGCCUAGUCAGAGAAAUAUCAAAAUUGUUCAUCUCCUUAGGAAAUCCCUCGUAUCUGCUCUUCUGAAGGGAUCUAUACAAAUACCUCAGGAAUACUUUUAAAGCUGUGCACUCGACGUGAUUCCAAAUGGGCUACAGAGCGCUCACCUCCAGAAAUAUUUUCCCCUCGGCACAGAGAUGGUCGUGGUCUCCUCCAGCACUUCUAAUUCAUGUCUUUGGUCUCUCUGAGAAGAAUGGAUGCACGGUACCUGGAGGAGGUCGCCCAUCAUUUAUGUUGAAUGCUGUGGCAAAUAUACCAAAGGGAAAUGCCCCAAUUCCGAAUGACAUUUGGAAGCCACCAUCUCCAAACCCGAAACCUUGGAAUCCCUGCAGAGAACAAAGCAACAGAAGAGAAAAAAAAAGGUAUAAAUAAUUUAAAGCCUAUUUCAGAAUAGUUUGCAAAAGUGCAGAUGCCCUCUUAUUGGCUUUCCUAAGGCUGAAGAAGUAUCAUGUAGCGUGGCAACUUUUAGUCUGCUACUGUUGUUAGAUACUUCCCAAGUUGUCAUGCUGAAAGCAUUUAUCAUAGCAGUAAACUUGCUAGAGCAACCCAAAAGUUUGAGAAAAUGACAAGUAGGAAUUGCACUUCUUGCCUGAAGGCUGCAAAUUAACAGAAGUGCUUAUAUAAAACUUUUCAACUUAAAACAGUGUGUAUAUGACAAUAUAUCAAAAUCAACGUUACCACUUCUAUUUAGAACAUUUACAAAUUGUAUCAAUAAUUCUGUAUUAACAGCUAUUAGCCACAUAGCUAUAAGAAAGAUACUGUAGAGAAUAACGUGCAUUUAUUUUUGGUACAUGUGCAUCAUCGAAAUAUUCAGUAAAGCGAUACACUGCCAAUGGGAUGGCACUGGUCAUUAUAAAGAGCAGUACCCAAACACAGAAAAAUCAUAUCAGAAUUCUAACUGAUGUGGCAUAUGAUGCACUCUACAGCUUCCUGAAGGGACGUUGCGAUGAGGAGGGGUUUGGCCUCUUCUCCCAGGCAACAAACAGGACCUGAGGAAAUGGCCACAAGUUGUACCAGAGGAGGUUUAGAUUAGACAUAAGGAAAAACUUUUCCUCUCAGAGAGUGGUCAGACACUGGAAUGGCUGCACAGGGAGGUGGUGGAGUCGCCAUCCCUGGCAGUGUUGAAAAGGCAUCUGGAUGAGGAGCUACAUAUGGUUUAGUGGCUUGUGGUAGCAAUGGUAAUGGGAGGACGGUUGGACCAGAUGAUCUUGUAGGUCCUUUCCAACCUUGUGAUUCUAUGAUUCUAUAUAAUCACCAAAGAAGAUCUAUAGUGCAAUAGCAUUGACCCCAAGGACUCCAGACUAAAAUUCCAUAUCAAAUCAGAGUGUGCUGAAGUAAGAUGAACCCUACUGUAUAAAAGCAGUGUACCAUUUGAGAAUCAACUAUAUAUAAAUCUAAGUAGUUGUGUCAUGUUUAAAAAGCAGACAGGUCACUGCUCUGUGUUCUAUAAUCCAGCAAACUGUUUUCUGAUCUCAGAGUUAAAACAGUGACCCACUCUGAAAAACCCCUCUGAUCUAUCAUCUCCAAACAACGGAGGACAAAUGUGAUUUCACUCACAUAAUAAAAGCCAAACAUUUCUGUGCUGAUACUUGAUUAUGACUCUUGUCAGAUGCUAUACUGUGAAGGACACUGUAAGGGGCUACCUGCAGGGGACAGCAAAGCACUUUGCAUGGCAAGGCCUACAUUUGCAGGAAACAGGAAGGCAGCAUUUCUACUGCUACAUCUUCAUUUGAGACUCCUCUGACUUCUUGCACCAGCUAAAAGCUUGAAUGCAAGGACAGCAGAUGAUUUAAUAAGAAAGCAGCUCCCUGGUGAGAGAGAACUACUAUGCUCCCAAUCUAUACAAUACAGAAAUGUUC
rnacentral:lncRNA from 1 species